CUACGUGCCAGCAGCCGCGGUAAUACGGAAGGUCCGGGCGUUAUCCGGAUUUAUUGGGUUUAAAGGGAGCGUAGGCCGGAGAUUAAGUGUGUUGUGAAAUGUAGACGCUCAACGUCUGACUUGCAGCGCAUACUGGUUUCCUUGAGUACGCACAACGUUGGCGGAAUUCGUCGUGUAGCGGUGAAAUGCUUAGAUAUGACGAAGAACUCCGAUUGCGAAGGCAGCUGACGGGAGCGCAACUGACGCUUAAGCUCGAAGGUGCGGGUAUCGAACAGGAUUAGAUACCCUGGUAGUCCACGCAGUAAACGAUGAUAACUGGGCGUAUGCGAUAUACAGUAUGCUCCUAAGCGAAAGCGUUAAGUUAUCCACCUGGGGAGUACGCCGGCAACGGUGAAACUCAAAGGAAUUGACGGGGGCCCGCACAAGCGGAGGAACAUGUGGUUUAAUUCGAUGAUACGCGAGGAACCUUACCCGGGAUUGAA
rnacentral:rRNA from 1 species